GUCUCCUGAUUUAGUCGGCUUAGUACUGACUGACCCAAUUCAGUUGUCUCAAGCCGAAUAGUAAUAGUUACUGUUUAUGAUCAGUUGGUCGACUAAGUAUCAGACUUAGUCGAUCCACUGAAGUAAGCCGACUCAGUUCAGGGGUGAGCCGACUUAAUUUUCAGAACAAAAAAUUUUACAUAAAAAUGAUGUAAAAUUAUUUUAUAAAAUUAAAAUAGUUCAAUUAAUAAUCUU
rnacentral:lncRNA from 1 species